rnacentral:rRNA from 1 species
GUGGGGAAUCUUAGACAAUGGGGGCAACCCUGAUCUAGCCAUGCCGCGUGAGUGAUGAAGGCCUUAGGGUCGUAAAGCUCUUUCGCUGGGGAAGAUAAUGACGGUACCCAGUAAAGAAACCCCGGCUAACUCCGUGCCAGCAGCCGCGGUAAUACGGAGGGGGUUAGCGUUGUUCGGAAUUACUGGGCGUAAAGCGCGCGUAGGCGGAUUGGAAAGUUGGGGGUGAAAUCCCGGGGCUCAACCCUGGAAUGGCCUUCAAAACUCCCAGUCUUGAGGUCGAGAGAGGUGAGUGGAAUUCCGAGUGUAGAGGUGAAAUUCGUAGAUAUUCGGAAGAACACCAGUGGCGAAGGCGACUGACUGGACAAGUAUUGACGCUGAGGUGCGAAAGCGUGGGGAGCAAACAGGAUUAGAAACCCUUGUAGUCC